GUCGGUCGCGCGCCCCGCGCUUCCAGUCCUCACACCCGCGGGACCUGGCCCCGGCCGUUGGCGCCCCUCCCGAACCCACAAACUUGGGGGGGGACGGAGGGAACCCCCGCCACCCCCACCCCCACCCGCGCGCUCACCUUUCAUGCCAGGGCCCCGCUGCUCUGCCGCGCCUGAUACAUGCCGGAGCCACCGUCGCCCGGGUUUGUCUGAACUGCUUAUCUCACCCGGGGCUGCGCGGCGGCGGCUCGGCCGCUCGGGGAGGUGGAGCUUCCGGGGCCUGGGCCAAGAAACACCUGCUGCUGUCGCCGCCGAGGACACACCCAAGCGCAACGCCGCCCACUCCCCGGCCCCGGCUCGCUCCCGGCGCCCUGACCUCAGCCGGCGGGAGGUGUCGGGUUUCAGCCGCAAGCGCACGCGCGCGCACCGACGGACCGCCCGGAGCACCCAGCGCGGUCACAGCCCGCCGGGGAUUUUGGGGAAAGCCAUGUGGCAGGGGUCGAGUUCUUUAAGGAGCCCAUGUUUGAAAAGCUGAAGUCCACGGAGGCGCCGCUGCGCCAGGGGCAUCAUUAAGUAGCUGGGGUUGCGGUCAGAGGCGAGGCCGCCGCCUCCAGAAACUGGCACAACCCACCGCGCCAAUGGCCCCAGCGCACCGCCUUCCCAUUCCUGGCGCCCCCACCCACCCUACCUCACCCGGGCACUUCACCGGGAUGACUCAGGGAGCGUCCUGAAAUUCCUCGGCACCCAUAGGCGGCGCGGAGAGGGACUGUGGGCCCCAGCCUUCCCGCCCCCAACGCGACGGACGCAAGCGACCGGUCCCCAAAGUACCCCCUCCCGCCAUCCGGGAGGCUCGGAGUCACAGGGCUGGCCUGACAGCCGGGGUACCGCGGCCCGGCCAGCAUGUAGGGAGCAGCCGACGAGGUGGCAAGGUCGCCGUGAGGUCCCGGGGUCUCCCCCCCCCCACCCGCCCUCUCUGCACAGCUCUGAUCCUCCGCUUUUAUGCUUUCAAGCCCGGAGGCCACUACACCCCCGGGGGGGGGGGGCACCCCAGCGCCGCUGCGGGUUUCAACUUUCCACCGCGGUGCCAGCCCCAAACCUGCCCCAGGACAUGCCCGCGCAGUGCUCGGCAGGCGCGCGCCGCCUCCCCCGCCUUCCUCCCUCCCGCGCCAGCCGGGACAGCGCCGGGAGCGAGCGCGGGCGCCAGCACCCCCCGUCCAUCUGUUCCCGAUGACGCCGGCGGCGGGCAGCGCUCGGGGCCCGCGCCAGCAGAAGCCGCCGAUGCCGCGGGGCGGGGGCGCACGCCGGGCCAGUCUUGCACAAGCCCCUAGCCGACCACAAACGACUAGGGAAACGGGCGGGCAAAGGCAGGCCGAAUUACUGCUCCUACCUGCGGCCACCCGGCCCCUGGCCCCACACACGCGCCGCGGCCUUUGGUCCACGCGUUAGUUUGAGCCGCCCCCCGGCAGCGUGGCCCCUGCAAGUUUUAAGAUGCUCACGGUCCGGCGGAUGCACCGGGCUUCCCGGGCGUCGGGGAUUCCGGGGAGGAGAACAGGAGGGGGAGGGGAGGACAGGGAGGUGUCAGAAGAAAGAAACAACUGGCCUCGAGCCGUAAAAACAAAAUGAAAAACCUCCCGGGCGGGUCCAGCCCCUUUCCCACCUGGAUUACUGGCUGUGGGGGGAGGGGAGCGACAUGUAAAUGAGCAGCUCGCACCUGGCUGCGCUGCCUGCAGGCCAGGUUCCCCAGGUAACAACCACGGGCUCUUCCUCCAAAUCUUGUAGCACCUUUCUCCCUUGGGAAGGGGUGUCUUGGAGGCCAAGUUCGUUCACCUGUUUGCUGGGGACCAGAAUGGCCAAGCUAUAAAUUUGUGGGUGACCACUAUGAGCUACCACCUGUUUCUGUUAUUUUUUUUUUUAAGCUGGCCACUCCCUCUCAUACACUCCAGCUCUACUAAAGCUGUCGCCCGCCACCCGGGCUUCAGUUGAACUUGCCCAGAAGUGCUCAAGGGUACAAGCAUGCAGGUGAACCAGGCAUCCUCCCCAGCUUCUCCAACCAGGAGUCGGUCCAACCUAGACUGUCCAAGGUAGCAAAAGAGUGACAGACACCCCUGGUGGCCACAGGGGGACAGCAGCGAGCCAGCUAUGUGCACCCAGGCCAGAAAAUGCUGGCAGGCACCAGGAGAUGGAUGGCACUCACUGUCACUUCCCUGCCCCAGGAAAUCAGUAAUCCCAGAGCAGAGCCUCUGAGUUUAAGGGUGGAAACCGCCCUCCUGCAGCCGUGUGGCCCCUUGCUAACUAGCCGUACCCUGUCUGGAGCCUACUGCUAAUUCCUGACUCCAAUGCUAAAGCGAACCUUCCUCUGGCCGCCCUCCUCCUCCCUCAGCAGCCGCUCCACCCCACCAGCAAGCCUAAGCUACACAGACUUCCCUCUGUGGGUUUCUGUUUGUUGUUUCUCGAGACAGGGUCCCUCUGUGUAGUUUUGGCUGUCCUAGAACUCACAGACUCACAGAGAUCCGCCUGCAUCUGUCUCCUGAGUGCUGGAAUUAAAGGUGUGCACCACCAUC